rnacentral:rRNA from 1 species
ACAUUUUUUUUAGAUUUUAUAAAAAGUAUAGUCUGCCCACUGUGUAAUAUGAAGGGCCGCGGUAUUUUGACCGUGCAAAGGUACCAUAAUCAUAAGUCCUUUAAUUGGGGAAUGGUAUGAAUGGCUAAAUGAUUUUUAUCUUUAAUUUUUAUUAUUUUAAAAUUUUGAUUUAAAGUGAAAAUACUUAAAUGAUUUAAUAAGACGAUAAGACCCUAUAGAAUUUUAAUUUAUUCUUUAUAAAAAUAUAGAAUUUAAGUUUAAAUGGGGCAUUUUUUGAAUAUUAAUAAUUUCUUAAAAUAUUUAUUAUUAUCAUCUUAUAUUAAAGAUUAUUAAAAAAUUACCUUCGGGAUUACAGCGUUAUUAUUUUUGAGAGUUCAUAUCGACAAAAUAUAUUGCGACCUCGAUGUUGAAUUAUAAUACCUUUAUGGAGCAGAAUUUAUAUAAGGUAGUCGGUUCGACUAUAAUAUUUUUACGUGAUUUGAGG